rnacentral:rRNA from 1 species
UACGUAGGCAGCGAGCGUUGUUCGGAGUUACUGGGCGUAAAGGGUGUGUAGGCGGUUUUCUAAGUUUGGUGUGAGAUCUCCCGGCUCAACCGGGAGGGUGCGCCGAAAACUGGGAGACUAGAGUGCGGGAUGGGAGAGUAGAAUUCCUGGUGUAGCGGUGGAAUGCGUAGAGAUCCGGAAGAACACCAGUGGCGAAGGCGGCCCGCUGGGCAGUGGCUGACGCUGAAGCGCGACAGCGUGGGGAGCAAACAGG